rnacentral:tRNA from 2 species
GCCCCGAUAGCUCAGUGGAUAGAGCGUCUGCCUCCGGAGCAGAAGGUCGCAGGUUCGAAUCCUGUUCGGGGUA